CCCUACGGGGUGCACCAGUAAACCGGUUUCUUGCCCAUGUAGACGUCGCCGUUCAGGAAGAGUUUGCCGAAUUCGGCGACGGUGACGGCCUCAUAGUCGUAGGUCAUGGUCAGGUAGGGGUUUUCCCAUUCCCCGAAGACCCCGAGGCGCUUGAACUGAUCCCGCUGAAUAUCCACGAACCGCUCUGCGUAGGCGCGGCAGAAGCGACGCUUAUCGGCCUGGGAGAUCUCAUAUUUCUUGUCUCCCAGCUCCUUGUCCACCUGAUGCUCGAUGGGGAGACCGUGGCAGUCCCAGCCGGGGACAUAGAUGCUGUCAUAGCCGGACAUGUUUUUUGUUUUGAUGACCAUGUCCUUGAUAAUUUUGUUCAGGGCGGUGCCGAGGUGGAUAUUGCCGUUGGCGUAGGGGGAGC
rnacentral:rRNA from 1 species